rnacentral:rRNA from 1 species
UACGGGGGGGGGGCAAGCGUUGUUCGGAAUUACUGGGCGUAAAGGGUUCGUAGGUGGCUUGCUAAGUCAGACGUGAAAUCCCUCAGCUUAACUGGGGGAACUGCGUCUGAUACUGGCGAGCUUGAGUGCAGGAGAGGAACGCGGAAUUCCAGGUGUAGCGGUGAAAUGCGUAGAUAUAGGAAGGAACACCAGUGGCGAAGGCGACCACCUGGACUGAUACUGACACUGAGGUGCGAAAGCGUGGGGAGCAAACAGG